rnacentral:rRNA from 1 species
GAUGAACGCUGGCGGCGUGCCUAAUACAUGCAAGUCGAGCGAACAGAUAAGGAGCUUGCUCCUUUGACGUUAGCGGCGGACGGGUGAGUAACACGUGGGUAACCUACCUAUAAGACUGGGAUAACUUCGGGAAACCGGAGCUAAUACCGGAUAACAUUUGGAACCGCAUGGUUCUAAAGUGAAAGAUGGUUUUGCUAUCACUUAUAGAUGGACCCGCGCCGUAUUAGCUAGUUGGUAAGGUAACGGCUUACCAAGGCAACGAUACGUAGCCGACCUGAGAGGGUGAUCGGCCACACUGGAACUGAGACACGGUCCAGACUCCUACGGGAGGCAGCAGUAGGGAAUCUUCCGCAAUGGGCGAAAGCCUGACGGAGCAACGCCGCGUGAGUGAUGAAGGAGUUCGGCUCGGAAAACUCUGUUAUUAGGGAAGAACAAAUGUGUAAGUAACUGUGCACGUCCUGACGGUACCUAAUCAGAAAGCCACGGCUAACCACGUG